UUGCUUCAAAGCGAUGUUAACUGUAGGGUGAUGAAUACCUGAUAAAAUGAGCUAAAAGCACUGGGGAGUCCCUGAGCAGGAGCCUGCUAUAUUGAAAAAGAGGCAGUAUCUAAAUAAACUCUAAAAGUGUUUCCCAGUGACUGCUUUAGUUCUUUGAUCAUAAUAUGCUAGGACAAAUGUCAGGAAAUAUGAGUCUACAAAGUGAUCUCUAAGAUGACAGAGGAAAGCAACAACUUUCAAGCUGAAAAAUGAAGUUAUCUCCUGUAAUGACUUGGGUUCAGGGAGUACUGAGCUUCCACUUCAAGCAGCCAGCUCUGGAAACAACUGGGAGACCAUUUCUUCAGAGAAAGAAGCACUCUUUUUAUAAACUAUUUCCCAUAUUUUUCAAAAACUCAUUUUCUCUUGUUAGUUUGCAUGUGGGAGGACAUCGCAAAUAUUGAUUCCAGCUGGGCUACUUCUACACCAGAUUCUGAGAUGCAUUGCAAAACUCAGUAGAUUGCAGAUCUGCCUAGUAAGUUCUUAUUUCAGUCAGCAAACAUUUAGUACACAGGCAGCAGAAUUUGAACUUCUCUAUAUUGAUUUUCUGUUUGUGAGCCACAUUCCUGAAAGUACAUAUUUUACCCAUGGAAAAUGUUAAUGUUCUUAUCAAUAAAGAGGGCUGUUGGUCAUUAUCUUCUUAUUUC
rnacentral:lncRNA from 1 species